UUUGGAACUACGUUUGACGAAGAAGAUAUCUUCGUGUCGGACAGCGGCUUCAGGAUGACCCAGGGAAUGUCUGAUUGAUCUUCAAAAUGAUUCUUCCCUCAAUCGAUUCACCCAUCGAGCAGUGGACCAAUAAUUUUCAAUAUCGACGUCAAUCUUCUUGAUAUCCGGCCUGAUUUGAAUACAUUCGCCUAAAAUUCACCACAGAGACACAGAAUCAGGCUGAAAGACAGACCCUCGGAACGGCCGUCAUUUAAUCCAAUGUUUUACAUGACGAUGGAAACAUCUUCCAACUUUUGGUCGUCUACGUACCACUGGAAGGGCGGAACUGUUCCGAUCCGGCCGCAAGUCUUGACACAAAACAAUGAUGGUGUCACGGUGUAGUAUCCCUUUGUACGGCCAUCCACAUCGGCCAAUCGACUCCGGACAUCCACUCUCAUUGUGACUCGAGUACGACGGCAGAGCGUACUCACCUGCGAAUACGAGAGGAUAAUUGCGUUAAGUGAAGAAAUGCGACGAUUCGUGGAACGAGAGUCGAUCGAAUAUCAAAGGGACAUGGAUUGUUCCUCCGCACGUAUCUGUUUUUAAAUUUUUUAAAUUAUUUAUUAACCCCUUUUUGUAUUCAAAUGUAGACAAACCGUAUUGGUCAAAAGUUAUGGGUCGAGGUGUUGUUGCACGGGCAGUGACUGGAUGAGCUGUUGGAAGUGACGGGCGUCGGGUGUUGGGACGUCGAGUACUGGUCGAGGACGACGGGUGGCGGCAGUGUUCCAGGAUUUUCCAUCCAGGGAAUAAUAUUGGUCAGAUCCACACCCGGAAUGAAAACCCUGGGUCCUCCAGCGACUACCGAGUUUUUCCACAGCUGAUGCAGCCACUGACUGUUGCUGGAAUUCUUGCCAUUGUUGUUGAUAGUCACGUUUGAUAAGAAAUGAAAAUUUUUAAAAGUGCCAGUACUGUACCUUGGAGGGUGAAAGACAGACCGGUGGAUUUGUCUUCUUCAAGUCCCAUAUUCCGCAUGGAAAUGGUCACAGUUUCCGGCUGUUGGUCCUCGACGUGCAACUGGAGAGGAGGGACGUCUCCGAUGCGGCCACAGAUUCUGUUGUAUCCCAUAAUGAAUCAUUUUAUUUUUAAGCAUUGGCCGGACGACUGUUUUUACGGUAAUAAUCCUCGUCGUAUCCGCUGCUGUUUAAGGAUGUGGCCAAAGUUGUCUCUGCCAAGGAAAUGAUUUAUUUACCUGCCACGGUGACGGAUAAAACGAGGCUGAACAGCAAGACGAGAUGGCGCAUUUCGAGUAUCAACUGAAACAAGUUCACCUUUCGUAAUUCAAC